AUUGAACGCUGGCGGCAUGCCUUACACAUGCAAGUCGAACGGCAGCGGGGGAGAAGCUUGCUUUUCCUGCCGGCGAGUGGCGAACGGGUGAGUAAUACAUCGGAACGUGCCCUGUAGUGGGGGAUAACUAGUCGAAAGAUUAGCUAAUACCGCAUACGACCUGAGGGUGAAAGUGGGGGACCGCAAGGCCUCAUGCUAUAGGAGCGGCCGAUGUCUGAUUAGCUAGUUGGUGGGGUAAAGGCCUACCAAGGCGACGAUCAGUAGCUGGUCCGAGAGGACGAUCAGCCACACUGGGACUGAGACACGGCCCAGACUCCUACGGGAGGCAGCAGUGGGGAAUUUUGGACAAUGGGCGAAAGCCUGAUCCAGCAAUGCCGCGUGUGUGAAGAAGGCCUUCGGGUUGUAAAGCACUUUUGUCCGGAAAGAAAUGGCUCUGGUUAAUACCUGGGGUCGAUGACGGUACCGGAAGAAUGAGGACCGGCUAACUACGUGCCAGCCGCCGCGGUAA
rnacentral:rRNA from 1 species